AUCCCUCCCUAGAGCCACAGCCAAGAGCAAACACCUUCAAGUCCUCCAGGAAUGGGCCUGGCUUCCUUCUGCCUUUGUCAGAGGGCUCCCGGGGCCACAAAAUGGAGGGGCCGAAAGCAGAAACCCCAGGAAGAAAUCAUCAGCUUCCACCUCUCUUCCAGGGUUCCGUUCACUGAAGCCCAGCGAAGGCAGCUCCAGUUCAGAGCCACACAGGCGUGGGAUUCCAGAGCCAGUCCUGUGUGCCUAUCCUCUACGCUUCUCAGGGGGCUGAGGAGGUGGGAAGGAAACUCAGACAUUGUUGUUGAGGUUGUCUCCAUUCGUGGCCGGCUUCCAUACUUUCUUAGGACUUGCUCCUUCUCAGGGGUCAAGUGGAUCAUGUAUUGAGCUGGCCUGUCUCCGUGGUCUCCUGUGAGCUGAGACAGUUUGCUCAUUCUUUGCCCUUCACGAUUGGGACAUUUUUGAAGAGCAGUGGCCAGUUACUUUGCAGAGUGUUCCUCACACUGGGUGUGUCUGGUAUUUUUCAUGAUUAGAUUGUGGGUCUGUAUGUUGAGCAAGAACACCACUGAAGAGACAUUGUGUCCUCGGUCGUCCCAGCAGGGGGGCAGGAGACUGCUGCCUCUGUUCCUGAUGACGACUUGACCAGCAAACGCCUAUGAUGAUCAACCAGCAUGAGAUCCUGUCUACAGAAAAAAAAGAAAAAAAAAAUAGAAUGAUAUUUGAGACCAAGCUCUCCCUGGCAAGGUGGCUUGGCAAGGAAAGGCACUUGCCACCAGGCUGCAUUCCAUCUCCAGGUCCAACAGCUCCCAUGAGUUGUCCUUCUGACCUCCCUGUGUGAACUAUGGUAUAUUCGUGCAUGUGUGUGCACAAACACACAAAUAAAUGGAUGAAUGAAUGAA